AAAUAACUUCCAGCUGUAUUUAUAUGGCUGUGGUCGCAGGUGAGCCUGUCAGAGACACAAAAUCAAAAUCACGCUGACACAUAAUGGACUACAAAUAUGAACUGAUGGUUUUUAUCAUUUGCUUGACGGGCAUUUAUUGUCAGAGUCUGACAGAAUCUGGAUCAGUGGUGAAAAAACCAGGAGAAUCCCACAAACUGACCUGCACAGCCUCUGGAUUCACAUUCAGCAGCUACUGGAUGAACUGGAUCAGACAGGCUCCAGGGAAAGGACCAGAGUGGAUUGCUCGUAUUAGUAGCAGUGGUGGUACCAAGUACUACUCACAGUCAGUCCAGGGCAGGUUUACCAUCUCCAGAGACAACAGCAGAGAUCAGGUGUUUCUGCAGAUGAACAGCCUGAGAACAGAGGAUUCUGCUGUAUACCACUGCGUUCGAGAGACACAGUGACUGAAGU